GUCCACGCCGUAAACGUUGGGCACUAGGUGUGGGUCUCAACCAACGAGAUCCGCGCCGUCGCUAACGCAUUAAGUGCCCCGCCUGGGGAGUACGGUCGCAAGGCUAAAACUCAAAGGAAUUGACGGGGGCCCGCACAAGCAGCGGAGCGUGUUGCUUAAUUCGAUGCAACGCGAAGAACCUUACCUGGGUUUGACAUGUAGGGAAAAGCUCUAGAGAUAGGGUGUCCUUCGGGGCCUUACACA
rnacentral:rRNA from 1 species